rnacentral:rRNA from 1 species
UUGAACGCUGGCGGCAUGCUUUACACAUGCAAGUCGAACGGUAACAGGCCGCAAGGUGCUGACGAGUGGCGAACGGGUGAGUAAUGCAUCGGAACGUGCCCAGUCGUGGGGGAUAACGCAGCGAAAGCUGUGCUAAUACCGCAUACGAUCUAUGGAUGAAAGCGGGGGACCGUAAGGCCUCGCGCGAUUGGAGCGGCCGAUGUCAGAUUAGGUAGUUGGUGGGGUAAAGGCCCACCAAGCCAACGAUCUGUAGCUGGUCUGAGAGGACGACCAGCCACACUGGGACUGAGACACGGCCCAGACUCCUACGGGAGGCAGCAGUGGGGAAUUUUGGACAAUGGGCGAAAGCCUGAUCCAGCCAUGCCGCGUGCAGGAUGAAGGCCUUCGGGUUGUAAACUGCUUUUGUACGGAACGAAAAGACUCCUUCUAAUAAAGGGGGUCCAUGACGGUACCGUAAGAAUAAGCACCGGCUAACUACG